GGAGCAGCGGAGCAGUGCAAAUUUCCUAGCUCCACAUUUCUAUGUUCUUGAUUAUUUUUCUUUUCCGCUUUCUUAUUGGUCGCCCGCGGUAUCCAAUUCAUGAUGAUUUUUAUAACUAUGAUUUCAUUUAUCUCUUUGUUUUGCAGGUUCUACAUUCUACAGUCCAAUUCACUCUACAGAGGACUGCUACUUACAUUAGGGAUUUCACAAAUCUGUCUUCGUUCCUGUUAAUUUUUCUUAGUUAGGUGAGUUGACUGCACAUAUUUAGCAUUCUUAGUCCUGUCGGGUCAUCCCGUCGAGGCAGUGACUAUUAACUCAUUUUCCAUUCCCUCUCCAAUUCGAUAGUGCAGCACAAUUAGCUUCUGUGGAAGGAAUCUUAAGGUUGCAAUACUACCUUGGCAACUAGAUAAUCCCUUGGACAUGUCUUCCAUAUUUGCUUUGUCUAUAUUCGCAGUUUAGUUCAUCUGUGUAUUAUGCUGUGUAAUUCCUGUCAAUCUUCAAGAUUGGGCUUCUUCAAUAGAUCGAUUUCUAUGAGAUUCUAUGAUUAGUACGAUGUUUAGCUGAAAUUUCUUUAGAGAAUGCUGCUUCCUUCCUUUUGUCUGUCAAAUUUGAAUCUUGAUUGAAUGGUCAUGAUGAUAGAUCAGUAAGUGAUCCAUCAGGAUAAUACAUACAGGGCUCAAAUUGGAUGUGAUGAACUAAUUUGAGGUAAAAAAAAUGUUCCCUAGACAAGCUAUUUUUUCGAUAUUUAAUUGGAAAGCACAAAAAUUAGUUGUAAUUCGAUCUAUUGGAUUAUCCUGAUGGGAUUUUUUUUCAAGAUUGGAUUCUUCUCCUUUUAUUUUUUUCCCCUAAGCAUGAGAAUGGUUUAUGUUACCAAUAUUAGUUAUAGUUCAGAAAGUUCUUUGAGUCGAGUAUGCUAUCAGAUUGAAAGAGCAGUAUUAAUAUGCAAAAAUAUCUAUGCAGGACCAAUCCUUUCCUUUUGCUUUCCUUUUCAAUGGUGUAAGCAGUCCUGUUGCCGCAGGCUGAUUUAGGUGCUAACCCAUUUGUUCAUCAAUUUGACUGCUUCUUUUAGUUACUUUUCCACUAUGUACAAACAAAAAUCUAUGCAUGCUAUUUCUGUGUCGAACCCCAAAAUCCCAUCCAAUCUUGGCCUCAACCCCAGAACACCCAUAAUGUGUAAGCUCUAGAUCAGGUCAAUGAUGGUUAAGUGAUUUAUUCAGUCUAAAAUUUGUUUUACAUAGCUUCUUCCUAAUUCCAAGUAUGAUGCAUUUUUUAUCUAUCUGCUUUGAUUUCAGCUUUGGUGCUUACAUUUAUUAACUCUGUCAUUACUUCCCAUGGCCAGGGAGGUAUCAUUUUCUGGUACUUAUUUUUUGAGAGGCCCAGUUCAAAUGUGUAGAUUAACAUGUUGCCUAAUCUUUGCAAUGGUUAAAAUAAAUUUGUAAAAGUUCAAGUGAACAAGCUCCUCCCUGUUCUGUACAGAAACUCAAAACAUGCAGUGUAAAACUUGGAGAGAAUCUAACCAUGGAGAUAAAUUUUUUAACUGGUUAUCAUUUCUUUUAUGUUCGUCACUUAGGAGUUGUUUGCUUACCAAUUUCUAAACUUUCAGUUGACCUAUAACCUAUUUCCCAACAAAGAUCCAUCAAUGGUCGCCAAGAACAAGCAUAACAGUAAGGCAACAUUGACCAAUGAAACAAUGAUGGCAUUAGCAGGCUUUGAUCAAAGAGAUGCACAUAAUGGAAAUGAUUUCUUUCCAAACAUGUGAUCAGGUAGCUCCUGGCUGGAUUCUCCAUUUUAUACAUGUCUGGAAACAUCAGCUCUAUGAAGAUAGUAAAUUCUGCAUAUAUGAGCCAAGGCCAAGCAGUCCCAAGCAAAAUAUAUCGUCCACCGAAAAACAACUAUAAGACAUGGCGGCAGUGGCGAACCUGCAUUUCCUGGGCUCGCGACUGCGUGAACAUCAACUGGGGCCUGGAAUUACUUGAACACACUACGUAUGGUGCUUACAACAGUGUUGGUAUUCCCCAUCCUCUUGAUGCUCUUGCUACAACACCUAAGGCCUUUGAAACCACCUAUGAAAAUCCAUGUCCACUCCAAACAAUGCAUCAUCCAACAUUCACAAGCAAUAUAUCACUCAUGUUGCUCCGUAUCAACACACCGCAUGGCACCACCACAUCGUUAUGCCUCAUUUCUGUCCAUUCCUAACCACGACCAUCACCUGACCAAGAUCAACCGUUGCAAUACAGUAACAGUGCAUGUACAAAACGAUGCUCCAGCGACAAGAUGUGAACCCAGUCUUUAUUACAAAAAUAAAAAUAAAAAAACAAGGCAAGAUCAUGACACUCCCUGGAGCGCCAACAAAAACUUAAUACAAAUCAGGAGCGGGACAACCAUUCACCAUUCCACGGAAUUUACUUCAACACUGCCUAUGCUGGAAGCUGGAAAAUGUAAUAAGCAGUAGCACUUUUGUAUAAAUAAUUGUACUAUUAUAUAUGCCUAAUAAUAUGUGGACAUACAAUGCAAAUGCUAUGUCUAUAUGUAUUAAUGAUGUCCAACCUUAACCUAAUGAUGGCUAGGCGCACCAAGGCGCGCGCAAA